GACGAACGCUGGCGGCGUGCUUAACACAUGCAAGUCGAACGGACGAGUGAGAUAAGUUUACUUAACUCACAAGUUAGUGGCGGACGGGUGAGUAACACGUGGAUAAUCUACCUGCAACACCGGGAUAACGCUGUGAAAACGGUGCUAAUACCGGAUACGUUCCCUUGUGCGCAUGUAUGAGGGAAGAAAGCUCAGGCGGUUGCAGAUGAGUCCGCGGCUGAUUAGCUAGUUGGUGAGGUAAAGGCUCACCAAGGCGAUGAUCAGUAGCCGGCCUGAGAGGGUGAACGGCCACACUGGGACUGAGACACGGCCCAGACUCCUACGGGAGGCAGCAGUGGGAAAUCUUCCGCAAUGGGCGCAAGCCUGACGGAGCGACGCCGCGUGAGUGAUGAAGGCCUUCGGGUCGUAAAGCUCUGUUCUUGAGACGAAUAAGCCAGGGAGUGGAAGCCCUGGUGAUGACUGUACUCAAGGAGAAGCUCCGGCUAACG
rnacentral:rRNA from 1 species